ensembl:lncRNA
GUUCGUUAUCUUCUCACUGAGUUAAUAUGAACCUAAAACAUUUUAACUAUGUAUUUCUUCUGAAUGCUGUCUAAAUAAUAUCAUUGUCACAUGUCUAAUGGUACAGUUUGAACAACUAUAUUACCUUUUAUUAGUAAGCUAAUAAUCUAUGGAGUUAAAUCAAUUAGCUUAUAUAAGCGAACUACUUUCAGAAAAAGUAGGUAACAUUACCAUAAAGUUAACUUUACUGGUUUAUAUUAUUUUAAGCAAAUGCCAAAGGCAUACACUAAUUUAGUUUUGCUCAUUAUUUAGUAAGAAAUAUGUAUUUUGUAUAAAUUAACUGAUAGCAAUGUUAAUGAUAUGUUAAGUAAUAUUAAGUAAUGUUUCUAUUUUAUAGAAAGGUUUAAGAGUAUGCAAAAACCAAAUCUCUGAGAGAUGCAACCAGAAGACGGAUGAGAAACAUACUUGAGGCUGAGAUGACAGAAACACAUGGGUAAGAAUCAAAAAUGUAGGAUAUAAAGAAACAUUUUUAACAUUGUAUUACUUUUAAUUGUGAUGUUCAAUGCCAAUUAUUGAAUUUAUACAUUAAGACAUCUCCCCCUAAAAGCGUAAGAGUGAUGUAUGUGCAGGGGAUUGUUGCUCUGUCUCCAUAUCUGGAAGACCCAUAUUCACAACAUGGAUAUGUAAGUAAAGGGGACUUUUCAACAUUAAAUACAUAAUUGCCCUCAGAAAUGUUGAUAACAUAGUCCUUCUGCAUUUAUUUAAUUACAUAGGAACAUUACUACGAUCCAGAGAGCGGUUCAGGAUACCUUGAAUGGUCUUCAACCGCCAUGCAAAGAAAAGCUGCGGAGGAAAGAAGCGUCUCAGUUUGCAAAUCUCCCAAAAUUGGUGGUCCAGGCCAUGGUCGAUCCAGACCACUCACCACUCAGACAGUGUUAUCAGAUGAGGAUGUAAGAGCAGCUAUUGCUCUUUUGAGACACUCUGCUGAUGAAGACAUCUGUGAAAAGAUGAAAGCUACCUUCAUUUAUCGGCAUUCAAUGGUCAACGAUGAAAAGAAUGCAGCAGAUGUCUUCAUAGGCCUGAUGCGGUUUCUGGACACACCAGGACUGGUAAGACAUCUUCAUUUGUUGAAUCACUGAAAUAUUCCAUGGAGCUUGUAGUGUCAAUGAUUACACCUUGCUAUGUUCUGUAUUUUUGCAUUACAGAUAGAACAAGAUUUCCGACUCCUGUUUUGUGAGGUCACUGCCAGAAAAUCCUUGGAGAGGUGGCCCAUCAAUCUCAAAGCAAAGGUUGUAAAGGAAAGUCAUGGACUUGUCUCCACCUCAGAGCUCUUGGAGUUAAUGUGCAAUGCUGAGUCAGGUACUGAAGUUGAGAAUGGUAUGAUUGUGACUCAUUUUAUUUGCCAUUGUUGGUUAUAUAGGUAAUUCUGUCAAUUGAAUGUAUUUUUGAAAUAAUUCUUUGUUUAUUCGUCUGUAGGCUGGGACAGUGACAUGUCUACUAUCUUGCUGCUGCUACAUCUGCUACCACCAUUUGCACAAUGGUGAAAGAGACAGGGGCGGAUCUAGAAGGGUGGCAUGGGGUGGCAAGUGCCACCCUAAAAUGAUCCCUUGCCACCCCAGUUUUGCAUAUGACAGUGUUGUUUAUUAAAAUAAGAUAGCAUUAACAGUUUGAGCGUAGUUACAGUCAACAGUGAAUAUAAAUGCUAAAACUGAAUAUAUUGGAUAGUGUUUCCCCCCUCCACCAUUAACAAAUGGUUCAGCCCAUAGCAGGACCGGCUUUUUUCUUGUUUUCAGUAACAAGCGAUGCUUGUGAUUGUGCCAGAGCACAUUUUGAACAACACCAUGGGAAUUUCGGAUUUUACACAUUUGGUUGGAUGUUACACUCUGGAAAUGGAAGGAAGGUGAGUGUUAUUAACCCUCUGUGGUCCACGGACACGCUGCACCUCCAAAUCACAUGACUGAUGUAAGCUGACACAGCAACAAGCUGCAGCUGAGUCUCUAUUUCAGCCCAUAUUGAAAGUUCGGACUUCAAAGUUUUUAAAUUUUAAUUACAGGCCAGUAAAUCCAUAGUUAUGAUGAUAUAUAUAAGCCACGCUUUUUACUAAAUACUGUCGUCACGUUUUUGUGUGUGUGUGUUUUAAGCGUUUUCUAAGGACAGCGCAAAAACAGUAAAGAAAGGAAAAAAGCCACCUCUUUCCUAUCAGUGGAAAAAUGUACCAUGUCGACCAAUUAAAAAAAAAAGUCAACACGUGAGAUUUGGUUGUUUAGGAAGACGGGAGAGUUUUGGGAGUGACGGUAACGACAGCGAGACAGAGCGAGCGAGUGAGAGAGAGGGAGAGAGAGUUUUUAGAUGUGGGAGAUUUGUGACGUUUAGUGUGGAGUGUAUACUUAGUGUGUUGUGUUGUCUUGUGUAGCUGUUCUGUUGUGUAGUCGUUUUGUCUUGUGUGUCAGUGAGGGCACUAAUGAAUGUCACAAAGGCCCAUUGCAGUGUAAACACUGUCACUAAGUAGAAAACCAGCGGAGUGAUACACCUGCUGUUGUCAGGCCUGCAGGUUAGUCCCUGUGCUGCUCUCCUCUGUCUUUUGGUGGACAAACUUUUUUUUUACUGGCACACAUCAUUUGUGGGGCAUCUUAUUGCGAAACCUGAUUGUUCUCUCAUUUUAGUUUUAGUAAUAUUUUUAAAUGGUUGUACAAAAUGAAAAAAACGGCAGGUGUAUUGGCUGCAUUUUUAGAUAAAUAGUUGUAUAUGUUUACAAAAUGUACAAUUUAUAUUUGCAUUUCAAGUUAUAAAAAUUUACUCAACAUGUCUGUGUUUUUUUUACAGUAAAAAAAUACUUCUAGGAUUUUAAGUUCUUUGUGUGAUUUCAGAUCAGUAAUACUAAUGCAGUAUGUCAGUGAAAAAACAACUAAAUUCAGUUGAGCUGAAAAGAAUGAUACCAAACAAGGCAAGAGGGAAAAAAUAAAAUGAAACAAUCUGAGGGUGAAAUACAAACGUAAACUCAAAAGGAGUCAAAAAUGGCCGCUUGUAUUUCAGACCUCAGUGGGUUAAUCCAACAAAUCAUGAAAAAUUAGGUUUAAAUUUAUGUCCAUGACAGUGCAGAUUUCUGACAUUUUGUGUAAUUUAAGCUGUAACAAUGUGAUUGUUUUCUAACAAAAAACAGUGUGAAACUUAAGUUAGACUUGUGUUUGUAAAUGAACCGCCCCAUGUUGUGUAGCUUUCUGGAUUUUAUACUUAUUGGGCUACAUGUUUAUUUAUUAUACAGGCUAUACAGUACAUAACAUCAAAACUCACAUGUUUUAUGUAACUAAAGUGUGUAAUUAUGUGGGCUACAGACAAUAAUUAAGUUAUAGACUAUAUUUAUAUGAAAAACGUGUAUACUUACUGCAUUUGAAUCAUUUUAACCAUAUGUAACCACCUGCAUAUGUGUUUGGGGGGAAAAAAAGGCUUUGAUUUUGCCACCCCAUUUGAUUUCUUUGCCACCCUAAGAAAAUUUCUCUAGAUCCGCCCCUGGAAAGAGACCAGGAAAGAUGUCUGCAUCUCAAGCUGUCAAUAACCUCAUCAAAUUCCCAAAGGUAUGUUGUUUAAAUUAAUGUUCCAUCACCUCUAUUUUCAUGGACAGUGAGGUGAGCUAAUCUACUGUCAGAGGAUAGUCACUUAAUACUGUUGUUUAACCUCCUAGGACCUGCCAUCCACAUAUGUGGACAUCACAUUUUUGGUUAUUUUGACCAAAAUACUCAAUUUUGCUCUACAUGGGCCUGAUAUCCACUUAUGAGGACAUUAUACUGCUACUGUUCUAUCAAAAUUUUAAAUGAAUAUCCUCAUUUGUGGCUCUCAUUUUUCUUAAAAACAAAAAUAAGGUAAAAAAAAAAAAAUCUGGAAAUUCUUUGUUUUUACAUUCAUUGGGCCCCAAUAUGCCCAAAUAUCAAAGAGAAAUUAUAAAUGCAUGUCGUGGAAGAGUUCGGGUCUUAGGAGGUUAAUGUGUUGUUGUAGGCUGGAACCAGUGUACAGCAGCAUCUAGACAACAGCAGUCAGCCCUACCUUCUUGCUCAGGGAUCCACAAGAAGCAGCAUUCACACCUUCAUUGUGAUUGACAAGCAUGCACUUCCAUGUAAAGUGACAGGUUCAGUAGGAGCCCUUGAUGAACAUUUUAGGGCCCAUUAUGUCUUUGGUACAUCAUACAGUUCAUUGCUGACCAACUUUUUUCACUUUUCUGCAAACAACUGUGACAUUGGGGAAACGCCAUAUUGCUUUCUCUAGUGAGCAUCAUAGAACUGUAUGCUAAUGUGAAUUGUAAGGGCUUGUUACGUUAAUUAAAUGACACUGAAAUGAGAAACAUAAUAAAUGCUGUUACUUUAACCUGUAUGUUUGUUGUCAUUUCCAUAAUCAAGUCAAGUCAAGUCAAGUUGGCUUUAUUGUCACUUCAACCAUGUACAAUUAGUUCACAGUGAAACGAAACAACGUUCCUCCAGGACCAAGGUGCUACAUGCAACAUAAAUUUACAACAUAAGUUAACAGAAAACACUAAACUAGCUAACUAAGAGGCCUAGUUAGCUGGCUAGCAGAGACAAGACAGAUUGACCUAACAUAAAUUACAACAUAAAUUAACAGAAACUAACUAUCUAACUAUCUAAGGAAGACUAGGAAGUAAAGAAAUUAGUGCAAAAAAUCCAGUAAUAAUAUUGUGUAAUAUAGGAUAGAUCACAGUUAUUUAGUAGUAUAGCAUCAUAAGAUGAAUAUGAAAAAAUAACACUACAGAGAAAUAAAAAUGAUAUAUUAUUACACAUCAGAGUGUUAUUAUUAAACUAAAUUUGGAGUAAAAAUAGCUCUAUAAAGUGUAAUCAAAUUACUCUGAACAGUGUGAAUAACCCUCAGUGUUAAAUAUUUUUACACAUUUUGUUGUUAAUUUUGACACUAAAUUGAGUACAAUUAACACUGAAAACUUAACACUGGUCAUAGAGUAAAUUUAACUCUAAUUUUGAGUGGGACCAAAUGUUAUCUGAAGCAGAGUUAAAAUCAACUCUCUAAGUGUAAAAUUGACACUUGGUUUUUUACUGUGUCCAAAUGUGAUAAUUACUUUCUUUUUGAUCAUUCUAAAGGCUGUUGUUUUCUCUUUAA